UACGGAGGGUGCAAGCGUUAUCCGGAUUUACUGGGUUUAAAGGGUGCGCAGGCGGAUAUGUAAGUCAGUGGUGAAAUCUCUGGGCUUAACCCGGAAAUUGCCAUUGAUACUAUAUAUCUUGAAUGCUGUGGAGGUAAGCGGAAUAUGUCAUGUAGCGGUGAAAUGCUUAGAUAUGACAUAGAACACCUAUUGCGAAGGCAGCUUACUACGCAGAGAUUGACGCUCAUGCACGAAAGCGUGGGGAGCAAACAGG
rnacentral:rRNA from 1 species